rnacentral:rRNA from 1 species
GACGAACCGUGCAAACGUUAUUCGGAAUCACUGGGCAUAAAGGGCGCGUAGGCGGCUCGAAAAGUCAGGGGUGAAAUCCGGCAGCUUAACUGUCGCAGUGCCUUUGAUACUGUCGAGCUCGAGGGAGGUAGGGGUCUGUGGAACUUCCGGUGGAGCGGUGAAAUGCGUUGAUAUCGGAAGGAACGCCGGUGGCGAAAGCGACGGACUGGACCGGUAUUGACGCUGAGGCGCGAAAGCGUGGGGAGCAAACAGG